rnacentral:tRNA from 2 species
AGACGAGAUGAUGCAAUGGGCCAAUUGGUAGGCUGUUGUGUAUCCAGUAUCUAUCCCAAGCUACUGGUGGGUUGCAGGUUCGAAUCCUGCCUCGGCUG